rnacentral:rRNA from 1 species
AACGAACGCUGGCGGCAUGCCUAACACAUGCAAGUCGAACGAGACCUUCGGGUCUAGUGGCGCACGGGUGCGUAACGCGUGGGAACCUGCCCUUAGGUUCGGAAUAACUCCCCGAAAGGGGUGCUAAUACCGGAUAAUGUCUUCGGACCAAAGAUUUAUCGCCUUUGGAUGGGCCCGCGUUGGAUUAGCUAGUUGGUAGGGUAAAAGCCUCCCAAGGCGACGAUCCAUAGCUGGUCUGAGAGGAUGAUCAGCCACACUGGGACUGAGACACGGCCCAGACUCCUACGGGAGGCAGCAGUGGGGAAUAUUGGACAAUGGGCGGAAGCCUGAUCCAGCAAUGCCGCGUGAGUGAUGAAGGCCUUAGGGUUGUAAAGCUCUUUUACCCGGGAUGAUAAUGACAGUACCGGGAGAAUAAGCUCCGGCUAACUCCGUG